CGCGCCUAACACACGCAAGUCGAACGAGCGAGAGAGAGCUUGCUUUCUCGAGCGAGUGGCAAACGGGUGAGUAACACGUGAGGAACCUGCCUCUGACAGGGGGACAAGAAUUGGAAACGACUGCUAAUACCACAUAAGCCCGCCGUGCCGCAUGGCACAGAUGGAAUAAGAACAGUCCUCUUUGAGAUGGACUCGCAUCCGAUUACCUAGUUGGUGAGGUAACGGCCCACCCAGGCGACCAUCGGUAGCCGGACUGACAGGUUGAACGGCCACCUUGGUACUGACACACAGCCCAGACUCCUACCGGAGGCAGCAGUGGGGAAUAUUGCUCUAUGGGGGAAACCCUGAUGCAACGACGCCGCGUGGAGGAAGAAUGACUUCCGAUUGUAAACUCCUGUUGUUGAAGAAGAUAAUGACGGUACUCAAUCAAGAAGUGACGGCUAACUACUUGCCAUCAGGCUCGGUAAAACUUAGGUCCCAAGCGUUGUCCAGAAUUACUGAUUGUAAAGGGAUCGCAAGUUGUAAGACUAGUUGGAAGUGAAAUCCAUGGGCUCAACCCAUGAACUGCUUUCGCAACUGUUUUUCUUGAUUAGUGCAGAGGUAGGCAGAAUUCCCGGUGUAUCGAUGGAAUGCGUAUUAUAUCGGGAGGAACAGCAGUGGUGAAGGCGGCAUAGCAGGCACCAACUGACGAUGAGGCUCGAAAGUGUGAGUAGCAAACAGGAUUAGAUACCUUGAUAGUCCACACUGUAACCGAUGAUUAGUAGGUGUUGGAGGAUUGACCCUUUCAGUGCCGCAGUUAACACAAUAAGUAAUCCACUUGGGGAGUAGGACCGCAAGGUUGAAACUCAAAGGAAUUGACGGGGGGCCGCACAAGCAGUGGAGUAUGUGGUUUAAUUUGACGCAACGAGAAGAGCCUUACCAAGUCUUGACAUCCCUUGAAGAUGAUGGAAACAGUAAUUCUUUUGGGAGCAAGGAGACAGGUGGUGCAUGGUUGUUGUCAGUUAGUGUCGUGAGAUGUUGGUUUAAGUCACGCAACGGGCGCAACCAUUAUGGUCAGUUAGUACGCAAGAGGAUUCUGGCCAGAUGUCCGUAGGCAAAACGGAGGAAGGUGGGGAAGACGUCAAAUCAUCAUACCUUAUAUGACUCGGGAUACACACGUAUUCCAAUGGGGUUAAACAAAGAGAAGCAAGACCGGGAGGCGGAGCAAAAGUCAGAAAUAACGUCCCAGUUUGGAAUGCAGGAUGCAAGUCGCCUGCACGAAUUCGGAAAUGUUAGUAAUCGCAGAUUAGCAUGUUACGCUGAAUACGUUGCCGGGCUUUGUACACACCGCCCGUCACACCAUGAGAGCCGGGGGGACCGGAAGUCCGUAGUGUAACCACAAGGAGGAAGCCGCCGAAGGUAAAACUGGUGAUUGGGGUGAAGUCAUAAC
rnacentral:rRNA from 1 species